GUAGGGCGGGACACGUGGUAUCCUGUCUGAAUAUGGGGGGACCAUCCUCCAAGGCUAAAUACUCCUGACUGACCGAUAGUGAACCAGUACCGUGAGGGAAAGGCGAAAAGAACCCCGGCGAGGGGAGUGAAAAAGAACCUGAAACCGUGUACGUACAAGCAGUGGGAGCACGCUUCGGCGUGUGACUGCGUACCUUUUGUAUAAUGGGUCAGCGACUUAUAUUCUGUAGCAAGGUUAACCGAAUAGGGGAGCCGAAGGGAAACCGAGUCUUAACUGGGCGUUAAGUUGCAGGGUAUAGACCCGAAACCCGGUGAUCUAGCCAUGGGCAGGUUGAAGGUUGGGUAACACUAACUGGAGGACCGAACCGACUAAUGUUGAAAAAUUAGCGGAUGACUUGUGGCUGGGGGUGAAAGGCCAAUCAAACCGGGAGAUAGCUGGUUCUCCCCGAAAGCUAUUUAGGUAGCGCCUCGUGAAUUCAUCUCCGGGGGUAGAGCACUGUUUCGGCAAGGGGGUCAUCCCGACUUACCAACCCGAUGCAAACUGCGAAUACCGGAGAAUGUUAUCACGGGAGACACACGGCGGGUGCUAACGUCCGUCGUGAAGAGGGAAACAACCCAGACCGCCAGCUAAGGUCCCAAAGUCAUGGUUAAGUGGGAAACGAUGUGGGAAGGCCCAGACAGCCAGGAUGUUGGCUUAGAAGCAGCCAUCAUUUAAAGAAAGCGUAAUAGCUCACUGGUCGAGUCGGCCUGCGCGGAAGAUGUAACGGGGCUAAACCAUG
rnacentral:rRNA from 1 species